UAUAAAACAUAUGUCCAUGGCUUCAAAUUCACCUCUAACUAAAAAGAAAUUAGUUCCACAUGUAUAACAUAAUUGAACAACAAUUUAAAUUAAACAUGAAAACAGAAACAAAGAAAGAAAGAACUCCAAACACUCCACUAAUGGCAGAUUGCAUGUGCAAGGUGUCUUCCUCCUUUGGGCUGCACGGCACUCCUUCUUCCUCCUCCAAUGGUGGCUGCACAAGGUGGUGAUGGUGGUGGGAAGGCACGGCAAGGGUGAAUUGUGACAGAAAUACGGGAGUUUGGGGGUGGAAGGUUGCGGCAAGGAGAGAACUAGGGUUUUUGGCGUGAAUGAAUGAUAUGGGGGGUGGUAGGUUCGGCCAAAGGGUUUAAAGGAGUAUAUAUAGGCACUUCAAACCCUAGCAAUCAGAUUAGGGUUAGAGAU
rnacentral:lncRNA from 1 species